rnacentral:rRNA from 1 species
CCUACGGGAGGCAGCAGUGGGGGAUAUUGCACAAUGGGGGGAACCCUGAUGCAGCGACGCCGCGUGGGUGAAGGAGCGUUUCGGCGCGUAAAGCCCUAUCGGCAGGGAAGAAGAUGACGGUACCUGAGGAGGAAGCCACGGCUAACUACGUGCCAGCAGCCGCGGUAAUACGUAGGUGGCAAGCGUUGUCCGGAAUUACUGGGUGUAAAGGGAGCGUAGGCGGGACAGCAAGUCCAGUGUGAAAUCUAUCGGCUCAACCGAUAGCUGCGCUGGAAACUGUGGUUCUUGAGUGAAGUAGAGGCAGGCGGAAUUCCUAGUGUAGCGGUGAAAUGCGUAGAUAUUAGGAGGAACACCAGUGGCGAAGGCGGCCUGCUGGACUUUUACUGACGCUGAGGCUCGAAAGUGUGGGUAGCAAACAGGAUUAGAUACCCCUGUAGUC